rnacentral:lncRNA from 1 species
AGUGCAAGGGCAGUCAGACUGCCUCAGACACAACCCCCAGAAGUCUUCUGAAGCAGCUGUUCAUGUGCUGACACAAGUCAGCCAACUCACAGAGGCGCGCCAAGUACCUAUGAAAAGUAAGACCAGGAGAGGGCCAGGCAGCAGGGAAAUCCCCUACAAAUUAGAAAGCCAAUAGAGAUGAUUAAAUGACCCUGCUUAUAAUGCGGUAAGACACUGUAACUCCAGUUCUGCUGCAUUUCACCACACAGGAAACAUGUCUUCACUGGCAACCACAUGAGCUGGGGAUUGUGUUUAUUUGCUGAGUUUGUCUGCUGAGAAUAAACUACUCCUCAGGGAUUCCUGUGUUCCAAGCUACCUUGUAGCUCAUCAGGCACAUGCAUGAGCCAGAACUGAACUUUAAGAAGUUGAUCGGCACCUUGCUUCCCUUUGGCUUGGCUUCUGUGAUAACCCACAAGGCCAAGACUCAGCCUAAAGCCACGAGAUGAGAAGAACUGCUUUGUCACAUUUUGAAGAAACUUUUCUUUGUGUUUCGGUAUCUGCUGCUUCCAGUCAGGCCAUGCCCCCAAUCUCCAACCCCUGCAAGACAGACGCCUAUACACUGCCAGCGCUAUCUUGUGACCAUAAGGAAAGAUAUCCCUAGAGGAAAGCAGAUACAAUAGACACAGAAGAGAGAGGCAGAGAUAAGCGAAAACAUCGGCGAGCCACUGGCCACCUGACCUACCUCCCUAACGUCUCAGUUGCCUAAGCUAAUAAAGACCUUACUGUUUUAGCCAA